AUGGGAAGUACAACGAGUCGCGAAGUCGCGAGGCUAAGCUAAUCUCUUAAAGCUUCUCUCAGUUCGGAUUGCAGGCUGCAACUCGCCUGCAUGAAGCCGGAAUCGCUAGUAAUCGCGGAUCAGCACGCCGCGGUGAAUACGUUCCCGGGCCUUGUACACACCGCCCGUCACACCACGAGAGUUUGUAACACCCGAAGUCGGUGAGGUAACCUUUUUGGAGCCAGCCGCCUAAGGUGGGAUAGAUGAUUGGGGUGAAGUCGUAACAAGGUAGCCGUAUCGGAAGGUGCGGCUGGAUCACCUCCUUUCUAAGGAA
rnacentral:rRNA from 1 species